rnacentral:rRNA from 1 species
UACGUAGGGCGCAAGCGUUGUCCGGAAUUAUUGGGCGUAAAGAGCUCGUAGGCGGUUUGUCGCGUCUGUCGUGAAAGCUUGGGGCUUAACCCUAAGUCUGCGGUGGAUACGGGCAGACUAGAGGCAGGUAGGGGAGAACGGAAUUCCCGGUGUAGCGGUGAAAUGCGCAGAUAUCGGGAGGAACACCGGUGGCGAAGGCGGUUCUCUGGGCCGAUACUGACGCUGAGGAGCGAAAGCGUGGGGAGCAAACAGG